rnacentral:pre_miRNA from 1 species
AGCCUUCUGUAUUCGUGCUGAGAUUUCGUCAUACACCAGACCACAAGGGCUGAUGAGACUUCCAAGAUAAGUGAAGCG